rnacentral:RNase_P_RNA from 1 species
UUCCACGCAGGGGGGAAGGUCUGAGAUGCCGAUACAUACAUCCCUAGAGGGGGGUUGCCUCAGCGGCGCCGGUCGGUAAACAGAAAAGCCGGGACUCUCUCCCUCUCUUCGGGGGGGUGGAUGAGGGCGGUCUCUUGGAAUGACUGGCUGGCAAGAUUCCUUUGAGUCCAAUCAGCGGGACGCCUGUCUGACUAGCUGUCUGCUCGCAGGCAGUUGCAUGACGGGCGGAACUCAAUUCAGACUACUCCU